CAGCCCCUCGAGUGGUGGGGAUGAUUAUUUGGCCUAAAGCGUCCGUAGCCGGCCGAGCAAGUCUUCCGUUAAAUCCAGCGUCUCAAGCGUUGGACCGCGGGAGAUACUACACGGCUAGAGAGUGGGAGAGGUCAGCGGUAUUCUGGGGGUAGGGGCGAAAUCCUUUGAUCCCCGGAGGACCACCAGUGGCGAAGGCUGCUGACUAGAACACGUCUGACGGUCAGGGACGAAAGCUGGGGUAGCGAACCGGAUUAGAGACCCGAGUAGUCC
rnacentral:rRNA from 1 species